CUUUGUUCUUCAGCAUUUUCUCUUUCAUUUCCUCACAUCAAUGGUACACAACCCAAUGCUCCAAUGGCCCACACUGUUUAUCUUCUCCAUUGCCAUCACUGCAAAAUAAAUGCUUCUCCUAAAACAAAACCAAAAAUUCUUCUUCUACAGGUAAUUGACGCUUGACGUUCCACUUUCUCCCCACGAUCUCCACAAAAAACUGAUGGAUUGCAUAUUAAAGUCGAUGCCUCGCCUCCCAUCAUCCUCCAGUACAGGUUGGUGUCUGCCAUAGCGUGCUCAUACUGCAGCUGCAGGUGAGCAUCCCCCUCCUCCCUCCUAAGCCAUUCCCUAUGGCAUAUUGCCAAUUGACUAACGAAUUUGGACUUCCUCAAGUGUUGGACGACUUGGAUGCCCAAUCAGUCGUUUUGAUUGUUCUUCACUCGCUGCAUACCCAACCACCUCAGAUUUACGGCUCCUGUUGGUAUUUAAUGUUCCCAUCCAUUUCAUACGAACCAAUUCUGAAGUUUUGUAUCUUUGGUUCAUAUGUAGAUUUAAUUUUGCUUGAUGAAUACACUGAAUUGCAAUUUAAUUCUUUGCCUAAUCCAAAUCUGAAUUUAAUUUCGCUUGAAAUAUGUAGCCUUCCAUUUCAAUUCUUCAGGUUUCUUCUUGGCUACAUUGGGGUCGAGCCGCCGUUGUCUCACACGCUCCAAUCUGAAGGUAUACACAUAGCUCGCUUCAGAUUGUGUGAAGAUUACUAUUCAUUUUCUGACUAUAAGUGUUUUUCAGCGUUUGUGGGAACGUUACUAUUCAGUGUGCAACUAUAUGCAAAUUUAUAUUUCAGUUUCCGAGCGUUUGUGGGAAGAUUACUAUUCAGUGUGUGACUAUAUGGAAAUUUCAGUUUCAGAUUGGAACUUUUUCUAAUUUAUAUUUUUCAUAUUUUCUUAGUUGAAGAUUACCUCCGACACACGCUCCAAUCUGAAGGUAUAUGCAAAUAUACAUGUUUUACUGCAAAUUAUGAUGGCUCGCUUCCUUGGAGUUUUUUCUAAUUUAUAUUUUCUUACUGAAGAUUACACAAUAGUUCCUCUACACUUCCCAAAGUGUAAUUGUCCCAUGUACAUUUUAGGUAAAGUGCAUAUACUAUGGAUGCAUAUAUAGAUUAUUCUGGAGUUUCUUUCAUUUGGUUGAGGCGGAUCACUGAAACUGAAUAGUAUUCUGGAAAUUAUGAACUUUUUUUACCAGGAAAGAAAUAUGGACACUAUCAUCUCUUAAGAGAAGGAUUUGUCUCUGUUGAACGUUCUCGUGCUACUUUUGCCCAUCUUAAUUGCAUAGCCACACCGAAGAGUUCCCUGGUGUCAUAAGCUUACUCAAAGUAUCUCAAAUAUAUGUGAGUUACGACUAACUAGGUACACACCAGAGAUCUGAAAAAAUCAAUCAAGGUCUAUCGACUGAUCUAAUCUUCCCUAUACAGUGUGUUUGUGCAAAACCGGGUUUUACAGUGCAUUCUCAAUUGUGCUUUUGUUGGACUUCGCAUCAUGGGGUCGAUGCCUCCCGGAUCGAGGUCCAUGCUUCAAGUUUAAGGUUCUAAAUUAUGGUUGACCCUUUUGUGCAACAAAUUAUAUUGGAUUGGUUGCACAACAGUCACACAUAGACUCGCGCAUUAACAUCUGCCAGUUAGUUUGGUUAUACUUUAAAUUCAAAUGGCCCCUUAUUUAUUUAUUUCUCUAUUUAUUUUUGAAUGUCAAUCUUAUAGUGGUUGGUGGAUAAAUCAACCUCGCCAGAUGUUGGGUCCAUGUUGAUGUUGAGGUAUCCCUUCAUCUCCAUCUUAGUGGCUCUUCGAUAUUAUGAUGUUUUGCGGUUCUCCCUCACACUGUCAGUUUGCAGCCUAAGAUUUACAUGACUCAUAAGCAUGCAUAGUUGUGCACCAUAGAAGAGAAGGCAAACCAAAUAAAUUCAGAGGCGCCUAAAAAAAUUAGCAGUUUGCUGCAAAAGUUGUUCUGGUGAGAGACUCAAGUGUGAGCCUCAUGGUUUAUAGGUGACCUAUUUUUUAUAGGAAAUCAGAUUAUGAGUGAACUCACAUAUUAUCAAUGCAAUAUGUUUUUUUA